UGGAAAGGGUGUGGCUCUACUGGGUA
rnacentral:piRNA from 1 species